rnacentral:lncRNA from 1 species
AGGACAUGUUGUGCGAUGCUUAUUCUAAGCUUAACUCAGUUCCCAUAUUCACAGACAUAAAAGGACAGCAAGAAAGAAAAAAGAAGAUGAAUAGUUUUGGUGGAAGCCCCGUCUUUCAUGCAGCCUCGGAGGGUCAUUCGUGGUACAGCAGGAGUCGGGAGGCAGGGGGUUGGCCCAGGCUCAUCGACAACUAGCUGAUUUAAAGAGUAUAAUGCAUCCUGUAAGUAGUUACUUUGAUCUUUUCUACCCAUAAUUAUGCUUGUCAGAAAAUAAGGGGGGAAAUCACUGCAAGUCAAAACUUUUGCUGAAAGAUAAGAUGUUAUGAUCUGCUGCUAAUUACAUUCCUGCAAUUAAGAAGUUGGGGCUGAUCGCUCAAAGCUUCCAAUACAUAAAAAUCAGCAGCCAUUUUAGUUGAAAUGCUACAUCCUGUGACCUGUUUUUAAUUGACUUUCCUCCUCCUCGCUCUUCAAAGCAGGACUCUGCCAAAGCCACCAGCUUCUGACUUUGAAGCUCCCUUGAAAUAGAGAGAAAAAACAAAGGCCAAAAGUCAAGGGCUUUCAACUGCAUAUGGUUUAGGCCAAAUUUACAAAUGUCUUUUUUCUCCCCCCUGGUUUCUCAAUAGGUUACUUUUAGUGAGUUCUUUGAUCUAGAAAAACAAAAACAGAAACUACGACACUGCGUAUUGAUCAUGUUUAAAAAUUUUUUUUGAUAAUCAGUCUAGUCACAAGUGUCUGUUCUUUUAAUUUUUUC